GAUGAACGCUAGCGAUAGGCCUAACACAUGCAAGUCGAGGGGUAGCACAGAGUAGCAAUACUUGGGUGACGACCGGCGCACGGGUGAGUAACACGUAUGCAACCUACCUAUAACAGGGAGAUAACCCGGAGAAAUCCGGACUAAUACCCCAUAACACAGGGAUGCCGCAUGGCAAUAUUUGUUAAAGAUUAAUCGGUUAUAGAUGGGCAUGCGUUCCAUUAGCCAGUUGGUGAGGUAACGGCUCACCAAAGCAACGAUGGAUAGGGGAACUGAGAGGUUUGUCCCCCACACUGGAACUGAGACACGGACCAGACUCCUACGGGAGGCAGCAGUGAGGAAUAUUGGUCAAUGGGCGAGAGCCUGAACCAGCCAAAUCGCGUGAAGGAAGACUGCCCUACGGGUUGUAAACUUCUUUUAUAGGGGAAUAAAAAAGGGAACGAGUUCCCUAUUGUAUGUACCCUAUGAAUAAGCAUCGGCUAACUCCGUGCCAGCCGCCGCAGUAA
rnacentral:rRNA from 1 species